CCUACGGGGCGCAGCAGUGGGGAAUAUUGCACAAUGGGGGAAACCCUGAUGCAGCAACGCCGCGUGAAUGAAGAAGGUCUUCGGAUUGUAAAGUUCUUUAAUUGGGGACGAAAAAAAUGACGGUACCCAAGGAAUAAGCCCCGGCUAACUACGUGCCAGCAGCCGCGGUAAUACGUAGGGGGCAAGCGUUGUUCGGAAUGACUGGGCGUAAAGGGUGUGUAGGCGGUGUAGCAAGUUAGAAGUGAAAUACCUAGAGCUUAACUCAGGUGCUGCUUCUAAAACUGCUAUACUUGAGUGCAGU
rnacentral:rRNA from 1 species